rnacentral:rRNA from 1 species
AAUGAACGUUGGCGGCAUGGAUUAGGCAUGCAAGUCGAGCGAGAAGGGUUUUGAAGCUUGCUUUAGAACCCGGAAAGCGGCGCAAGGGAGAGUAACGAGUAGUUAUCUACCCCAAGGCCCGGAAUAGCUGCGGGAAACUGCAGGUAAUGCCGGAUAAUAUCCCCGGAUCAAAGGUGUGAUUCCGCCUUGGGAGGAGACUGCUUUGUACUAGCUAGUUGGUAGGGUAAUGGCCUACCAAGGCUACGAUGCAUAGCGGGCGUGGGAGCGUGGCCCGUCUCACUGGGACCGAAACACUGCCCAGACACCUACGGGUGGCUGCAGUCGAGAAUCUUCGGCAAUGGGCGAAAGCCUGACCGAGCGAUGCCGCGUGCGGGAUGAAGGCCCUCGGGUUGUAAACCGCUGUCGUAGAGGAGAAAGGUCUGAUGAAGAAUCAGAUUUGAUCUAUUCUAGGAGGAAGUCGGGGCUAAGUUCGUGCCAGCAGCCGCCGUAAUAC